AUUGAACGCUGGCGGCAGGCCUAACACAUGCAAGUCGAACGAGUGGCGGACGGGUGAGUAAUGUCUGGGAAACUGCCCGCUGGAGGGGGAUAACUACUGGAAACGGUAGCUAAUACCGCCUACCAUCGGAUGUGCCCAGAUGGGAUUAGCUAGUAGGUGGGGUAACGGCUCACCUAGGCGACGAUCCCUAGCUGGUCUGAGAGGAUGACAAGACACACUGGAACUGAGACACGGUACAGACUACUACGGGAGGCAGCAGUGGGGAAUAUUGCACAAGGGGCGCAAGCCUGAUGCAGCCAUGCCGUGUGUAUGAAGAAGGCCGUCGGGUGGUAAAGUACUUACAGCGGGGAGGCGUUAACCGCAGAAGAAGCACCGGCUAACUCCGUGCCAGACGCCGCGGUAAGUC
rnacentral:rRNA from 1 species